AGAUUGGAACACAAUACCACAGUGAGGAAAGCCGGAUGUUGCCCACAUGCCCCACGGAGAAACCCGCCAGGGGUCCUGAGUUUCUUCAAUGGCAUUCUAAUCCAUGAGUGUUCAGAGAGAGCAGGUGGGCUCCCCUACCCGGCGCCUUCCAACCAGCAUCUGGAAAAGGAUAGUCAGAAUCGCAGUGAAAAUUACGCCUGCAACCCUGGCAGGCAGGGAAGCACUUAAUAACUUACGUGGGUGUCAGGGCAAGGGAGCCGUCCGCAAACCAGGGUUGUGAUGGACCGUUCUCCACCAUGUGAUGUUCAUUUUCUCCACUGAGAUUGCACAACCUCCUUGAAAAGACAGCUCCUCCUGCCGAAAAUGUGUUGCAGACUCGGUCAGUCAGGUGGACUUAAUUGGAAGGCACUUUCUUUUUGAUGGAAAAAGAAGGAGAAAGA
rnacentral:lncRNA from 1 species